UCUGGCAGGACUCCGCCGCGAGCCACCGCGGCGUUUCAGCAUCCUUCCGUGGCCCGUUGACAGUUGUUACCUGUGCCCCAGCGGGGCCCUCGCAGCCCCAAAGAUAAAACGACCCGGAUCAAGUGCCAGACACAUAAAUAUUUCUCUCCCUUUCUCUCUUUUCCAAAAUAGCUUUUAAUUGUACAAGUUUUAUGAGCUGGAUAUUCAGUGCAUAUGUUUUACAAGACACGCUGUCCUCCGUCUCACCCCGACACUUCGGCAAAUGUUUUGAUUUAGUUGUCUAGAAGGAAGCAAAAGUUAAUAAGUGGUGGGUGAGGGACCGGGGGGGAUACGCAAUGGAUGGAAUACAUUCCACUGGAAUCUAUGUAUCUCAUCGCUAGUUUGCUAGCGAGCGACGUACCGAUCGUUUUUACGAUCGGUAAAAAAGACGAGCGCCGCGUUGUUUCAAGGAUGAGGAGAUAUACUAAAAGCAUUGCAACAUAAACAACAAUGAGCUUUUAUCAUGACGGUGGUGUGUUUUUGAUCAACCGAAAUGGAAAUGAACAGAGCAGCAAGUGUCAGAGCGGUAACAAAUUCCAAAAAAAAAAGCACAGGUUUGACCGGACAUGUUUUAGGAUGGGGACGGAAAAGACAACAAAAUGACACCGUACAUCCACUACACAUGCAUGGAACUGAAUUCAGAAAAGAGCAAAAAAAAAAAAAAGUUUAUGGAAGGUGGAGAGCGCAAAAGUUGGAAUUGGCUUGGUGAAAAUUGGGUUCAGUGGAAAAAAAAAAAAUCAACAACACCUGUUGGAUCCUGCGGUCCAAGAAGGAGGUUAAAAACAAAAGUUCGAACCGGUAACAUUUCGUUGUAACACGCCAUUCUGAAUAAUGUGUUUUUUUCUGGGGUCACAAGGUCACAGGUCAGCACAAGGCCGUGUGGGCGUGCCCGCGAGUGUGCAAUAAAUGACUGACACCUGUUCGGCACUUCUUUUUUUUUCCCCCCUCUCCGAAUUUCUCCUCAGGGGUGGUGAGUUCAAUUGAGAAAGCACAAGCAGACGCGGGGGGGCAAAAAGCCCUGAUUUGUUUCACUGAUCAGAUUUAUGGACCACUGUCAAGUCAUAGUUUCAAAAUGAAAAAUAGAACAAAAAUCAAAUAAAAUUGCAAACUCUUCCUUUAAUCAAGAAGCAACUACAGCUGGCAGUAAAAAACAACAAACAUCCACAAUAUUUUGAAACUGAAAUAAAACCGUAUACAACUCUCCACAAUGCGACAAAAUGAGAACUCACCGCUAUAAAUUCUUCAGUUUUUCCCUUUUUCUAAUUGUUUCUCCAUGUGCUAGUAGCCUCUGUGUGACCUCCGCGCACUUUUUUUUUUCCCUUCUCCUGCACCUUUGCCAAUAUCGGCCACAUGUGUUUGGGUGACCAGAGCACCGCGGCAACCUCGCCAUUCGUCUUCAUUUCUACAAAAGUCGUCAUGCAUGCCGCAUUUUAGCUCCGUUCAAAGACAUCUGAGAUGGCUAUUUACGCUGCUCGUAGUUUGAAGCUCACGGCGCUCUUCGGUCAUCACGUGAUUUAUUGGGGGGGGAAAAAAAAUCGUGGGGGGAACGUGAAAUAAUAACUCACAGGAAGAGAUGCCAGAUAUGACGUUUAUUUCGAGUAAAGAGCUUUCAAGUUCUUCUUAGCAUCUUUUAUUUUGGAGUCCGGCCUCCAAUUGCACUGUUUGCCUGUUAACGUAUUGGAAAAUAUGUCACAUUGACUUUUUAAUAGCUUGCAUCCAAAUAGAUGCGUCUCUGGAGUGCUUGCCCAAGCAUCAAGUAUGAAAUUAAAUAAAUUAUUUUUGGUUAACUCCCUAGUUUGAAAAAAUGGACUGUGAUUGGGAAGAGGUUGAUUUUUUUUUUUUGCUCAUUUACACAACAAUGCCCCCACAUUGAGUUUAUCUGCCCAAAAUAUGACACCUAAACUGGUGCGCUAUCUGAAAAUUUCAAGACAUGGUAAGCAGAGCUGCAUUGCGUUUUGUUGGAGUUCAGUUUAUGCUUCUGAUAAACUGCACGUUUCUGAAAAUGUGUCCGUACUUUCAGAUUCCACCCCUCCACCACCCCCCCCCCCCCCCCGCCCCCACCAAACACCGAUUCUGUGCCGAUCACUUGGCAGCUAGGCUAGGUGAAGAGCCACCACUUUCAAGCCUGCGUAAAACAUGAGCCAAAAGAACAGAGGUAUGGAAAGAAGCCAAGUUGGACAGGCAUGGAAAAAGGGGCCUGUGAUACAUUCCAAAGCUGGGAAAUCCAUGAAUCGACUUGGAACCCCCUUUCAUACACACCAGCAGGAUGGAAAGAAGCUGGCUUUGAUUAACUGUUUGAAAGUAAAAGCCGCCCCCAGCUCGAUCCAACACGCACCAUCUUCAUAACUGCCGCCCAGGUCAGCAAGCUGGACAAAAAGCUGGCCGUGGGAAAGGGGCUUUUAAUACCUGCACAUGUAGGGUACAAUUAAUUUUGUGAUGAACUAGCUACAGGAAAAAACAAACAAAAAGACUGAACCAAAAACACCUGGAGAAAAAAAUCUGUCUGCCUCCAAAUUUAAAUGACUGUGUUUUCAUCCCCUUUCACACACCCUGUCUUUUUUGUGUCGUUCGACUCUGUGAAAGGCAUUGACACAGAUUGGUGGGGAUGACGAAAAUCUCUUCAACAACCAACAAGAAGUCCAAUUUCCUUGCAUUGAACAUUUUUUCAGUGUCUUUAGCCCCUUUCACACUGCCAUUAUCAUUGUCUUUUUCCCAUUUUAACCCCCUUUCAAACUGACCUGUGUGAAAGUGACCAACACAGAAAGAUGGGGGAGCAGCAACAACUCCCAAGAAUUCCAGUUACCUUCAAGUUUCCUUCUAGACUUUCAAUGCCCCUUCCACGCC